rnacentral:rRNA from 1 species
UACGUAGGGGGCAAGCGUUGUCCGGAAUCAUUGGGCGUAAAGAGCGUGUAGGCGGUCCGGUCAGUCGGUUGUGAAAGUCAAAGGCUCAACCCUUGAAUGCCGGCCGAUACUGCCGGGCUAGAGUCCGGAAGAGGUGAGUGGAAUUCCUGGUGUAGCGGUGAAAUGCGCAGAUAUCAGGAGGAACACCGAUGGCGAAGGCAGCUCACUGGGACGGUACUGACGCUGAGACGCGAAAGCGUGGGGAGCAAACAGG